GAUGAACGCUGGCGGCGUGCCUAAUACAUGCAAGUCGAGCGAACAGAUGAGGAGCUUGCUCCUCUGACGUUAGCGGCGGACGGGUGAGUAACACGUGGAUAGCCUACCUAUAAGACUGGGAUAACUUCGGGAAACCGGAGCUAAUACCGGAUAAUAUAUUGAACCGCAUGGUUCAAUAGUGAAAGACGGUUUUGCUGUCACUUAUAGAUGGAUCCGCGCCGCAUUAGCUAGUUGGUAAGGUAACGGCUUACCAAGGCGACGAUGCGUAGCCGACCUGAGAGGGUGAUCGGCCACACUGGAACUGAGACACGGUCCAGACUCCUACGGGAGGCAGCAGUAGGGAAUCUUCCGCAAUGGGCGAAAGCCUGACGGAGCAACGCCGCGUGAGUGAUGAAGGUCUUCGGAUCGUAAAACUCUGUUAUUAGGGAAGAACAAAUGUGUAAGUAACUAUGCACGUCUUGACGGUACCUAAUCAGAAAGCCACGGCUAACUACGU
rnacentral:rRNA from 1 species